GGGAAUCCAUCUCUUCGCCUCUUUCCAUCGCCAUCUUCGGCUCUUCUCCCUUCUGAUGUGGUUGAUUUCAAGAACGUGAUUCUCCUCCACCAACCAGCAAAUCUCGGUUAGUAUCCUGCAAUUGGUUUCUGUGCUGUCGUUAUCUUCGUCCCGCUUGAUUAGAGUAUGGUACUGAGUUUUAGCUUUUGAAUCUUCAGUUUUGGACGAAUCUGGACGCAUUUGUGAACUUUCUGCUAUGAAUUUGUCUAUGGAAUAUUGCAAAUGUCCUACUUGCUUGGAGAUUCACCCCUGAAAA